rnacentral:rRNA from 1 species
UUAUACAUGCAAGUCGAGGGGUAACAGGUCCUUCGGGAUGCUGACGACCGGCAAACGGGUGAGUAACGCGUAUGCAAUCUACCUCUAACAGGGGCACAACUUCGGGAAACUGGAGCUAAUUCCCCAUAAAACUGCGAAAUCGCAUGGUUUUGCAAUUAAAGUUCCAACGGUUAGAGAUGAGCGUGCGUUCGAUUAGAUAGUUGGCGGGGUAACGGCCCACCAAGUCGACGAUCGAUAGCUGAUGUGAGAGCAUGAUCAGCCACACGGGCACUGAGACACGGGCCCGACUCCUACGGGAGGCAGCAGUAGGGAAUAUUGGGCAAUGGAGGAAACUCUGACCCAGCCAUGCCGCGUGAAGGAUGAAGGUCCUACGGAUUGUAAACUUCUUUUAUUAGGGAAGAAACGUUUUGAUUCAUCAGAACUUGACGGUACCUAAGGAAUAAGCACCGGCUAACUCCGUGCCAGCAGCCGCGGUAAUACGGAGGGUGCAAGCGUUAUCCGGAUUCACUGGGUUUAAAGGGUGCGUAGGUGGAUUAAUAAGUCAGUGGUGAAAGCCCCGAGCUCAACUUGGGAAUUGCCAUUGAUACUGUUAGUCUUGAGUUCGGUUGAGGUAGGCGGAAUAAGUCAUGUAGCGGUGAAAUGCUUAGAUAUGACUUAGAACACCGAUUGCGAAGGCAGCUUACCAAGCCGACACUGACACUGAGGCACGAAAGCGUGGGGAUCAAACAGGAUUAGAUACCCUGGUAGUCCACGCCCUAAACGAUGAUCAUUCGACAUUAGCGAUAAACAGUUAGUGUCCAAGCGAAAGCGUUAAAUGAUCCACCUGGGGAGUACGCCCGCAAGGGUGAAACUCAAAGUAAUUUGACGGGGGUCCGCACAAGCGGUGGAGCAUGUGGUUUAAAUUCGAUGGUACGCGAGGGAACCUUUACCUGGGCUAGAAUGUGUAUUGACAAUUUGUGAAAGCAGAUCUUCCCUUC